GCUGGGUGUGGUGGUGGGCACCUGUAAUCCCAGCUACUCAGGAGGCUGAGGCAGGAGAAUCAUUUGAACCCGGGAGGUGGAGGUUGUGGUGAGCCAAGAUCACGCCACUGCACUCCAGCCUGGGUAACAGAGUAAGAUUCUGUCUUUU
rnacentral:sRNA from 1 species